CAGAGUCAUAAAAAACUCCCAACCCAUGUGAAUUUACCUUUGUUGCCUCGGCAGGACCUACCCGGUACCUACCCUGUAGCUACCCUGUAGCCUGCCGGUGGACAUCUAAACUCUUGUUAUUUUAAAUAAAUCUGAGCGUCUUAUUAAAUAAGUCA
rnacentral:misc_RNA from 1 species